GACGAACGCUGGCGGCGUGCCUAAUACAUGCAAGUAGGACGCAGUUGCGAACGGGUGAGUACCGCGUAGGUAACUACCUAUUAGAGGGGGAUAACUAUUGGAAACGAUAGCUAAUACCGCAUACUAGUAGAUGGACCUGCGUUGUAUUAGCUAGUAGGUCGGGUAAUGGCAUACCUAGGCAACGAUACAUAGCCGACCAGACAGGGGAAUCGGCCACCCAGGGACUGAUACACGGCCCAGACUCCUACGAGAGGCAGCAGUAGGGAAGCGUCGGCCAUGGGGGGAACCCUGACAGAGCAACGCCGAGGGAGUGGAGAAGGUUUGCGGAUCGUAAAGCUCUGUUGUUAAGGAAGCGGUACUUAACCAGAAAGGGACGGCUAACUACGUGCCAGCCGCCGCGGUAAUUC
rnacentral:rRNA from 1 species